AGAGCGAACGCUGGCGGCAGGCCUAACACAUGCAAGUCGAGCGCCCGUAGCAAUACGGGAGCGGCAGACGGGAUAGUAACACGUGGGAACGCGCCCUUCGGUUCGGAAUAACUCAGGGAAACUUGAGCUAAUACCGGAUACGCCCUUACGGGGAAAGAUUUAUUGCCGAAGGAACGGCCCGCGUCCGAUUAGCUAGUUGGUGAGGUAAUGGCCCACCAAGGCGACGAUCGGUAGCUGGUCUGAGAGGAUGACCAGCAUCACUGGGACUGAGACACGGCCCAGACUCCUACGGGAGGCAGCAGUGGGGAAUAUUGGACAAUGGGCGCAAGCCUGAUCCAGCCAUGCCGCGUGGAUGAUGAAGGCCUUAGGGUUGUAAAGUCCUUUAACGGGGAAGAUAAUGACGGUACCGUAGAAUAAGCCCGGCUAACUUCGCGCCAGCAGCCGC
rnacentral:rRNA from 1 species